rnacentral:rRNA from 1 species
AACGAACGCUGGCGGCAGGCCUAACACAUGCAAGUCGAACGAUCCUUCGGGAUAGUGGCGCACGGGUGAGUAACACGUGGGAAUGUACCUUUUAGUGGGGGAUAACAGUUGGAAACGACUGCUAAUACCGCAUACGUCCUUCGGGAGAAAGAUUUAUCGCUAAAAGAUCAGCCCGCGUCUGAUUAGCUAGUUGGUGAGGUAACGGCUCACCAAGGCGACGAUCAGUAGCUGGUCUAAGAGGACGACCAGCCACACUGGAACUGAGACACGGUCCAGACUCUUACGGGAGGCAGCAGUGGGGAAUAUUGGACAAUGGGCGAAAGCCUGAUCCAGCCAUGCCGCGUGAGUGAUGAAGGCCUUCGGGUUGUAAAGCUCUUUAGCAGGGGAAGAUAGUGACGGUACCCUGAGAAUAAGCCCCGGCUAACUCUGUGCCAGCCGCCGCCGUAA